UGGCUAUGAAAUCGGCUCCUGCAUAAAAGUAAAAGAGAUGAUAACUUCAAGUUAUAAGAGAAGAAACGAGAUACUACGCAGUAGAAAAAUAUUAAAGACAUACCUGGGAAAAUGAUUGAGAACUUAAGAAACUAGAAGGUAACUCUAGAGUUCUAAAACAACGCCUCCACGAACAUCAAUACUCGAGCACUCAUGAAGUUUAUUUUCAAUGUUGUGAUCUACUUACGUCAGAGGGAGCUGCAUAUUCUUCU